GGACCUGAUUAGCGCAUGGGCCCCCUAGCAACGGGCUCCUGGGGGCUGGUUGGUUGCUACGGCCUGGAGACGGGCCACAGGAUUCCUCCCCCGCCCCGCCCCAGCAGCGCUCAGCGGAGCCGGGUCUGUCUGGCCGGGCAGAUCAGUAGUGGAGUCAGCUGCCCUCAGCGUAUUGUCACUGAGCCGGUGGGAGGUUUGCUCCUGGUGCGAAAAUCCCAACUGGCCCUAAAGGAAGAGCCAAGUUUCUAGCUGGGUGAGAAGAGCUGGAAAGCACAACCCCUGACAGCUCCAGCCCGGCAGGCCAGCAAAGAGCCAGUAGUUACUGUGGUCAUCAUGGAAAUUUACCUUUUGUAAAGCUAGUCUCACCAUUCUAGGGGGCCCGAGUCAUGCUUUUUGAAUGCUUGGGGUCACUUCUAACAACACUGCAGCAGCAGCUCAAAACAUCAUCGCAGCAUCGCAAAAUGUCGCCGGAAAAUGUCUCUGUGGUGCCACAAAGUAUCACCAAGAAAUGUCACUGUGGUUUCUCAAAACGUUGCCCCGAAAUACCUCUGUGGCAGUGUAAAUGUCUCUGCAUUGCCACCUGCUCUGUGGCCACCUUUCCUCUCAUACAGCAGCAAGACCAUGGUGGCCCUGGCAUAACUCUGUUUGUGUUCCCCAAGCUGAUGGGUGGAUUUCACUCUGAAUAAAUUUCAGAGCCAACUGACUUAAUUUACAAGUUAAAAGGACAUUUACAAUGCCAUUUGCUACCAAGAUCUUGGAAGAAGCUGUAUGUAGCUCCAUACAGGAGAUCUACAUUACUCACUUCACCUCUCUACAAAGGAAAAAGGACUGUAAGCUGUCUAAACUCCUACCUGCCACAUGGGGCCACAACCGUGGUACCUCUAACCCAUCCAGCAAUAUCAUCAAUCUAUCCAACUACACACUCAGGACAGA